UACGGGGGGGGCAAGCGUUGUUCGGAAUUACUGGGCGUAAAGGGCUCGUAGGCGGCCAACUAAGUCAGACGUGAAAUCCCACGGCUCAACCGUGGAACUGCUGGGUAUACUGGGCGUCUUGGGCCAACUAGGGGCAACUGGAACAAGCGGUGGAGCGGUGAAAUGCGUAGAUAUCGCUUGGAACGCCAACGGUGAAAACAGGUUGCUGGGGUUGUGCCGACGCUGAGACACGAAAGCCAGGGGAGCGAACGGG
rnacentral:rRNA from 1 species